CAAUGUUUUAUUGACGUUUUCCCAUGGGAUUGGGGCUGUGGAUGGCAGCCAACUACUCAAUAAACAAGUUGUUAUUUGAUCAGUCGGGUGUCCGAUCGGGAACCACCGCGAUCUAUACAGUAUGUGCCUUACGUUGUGACAAACUCUCGAGAGCAUACUUACAUGGGGGUCAAAAAAUAUUGUUUGUUCAUCACAAGUUCACACGUGGUAUGUUCAUAAAAAAGUUUCUUAGCUCCCCCUAACUAAGAUAUCGGGCCUCAAAAGGUAAUCUCAAAUUUUAUUAUUGAAGUUCUAAUGUUUGAACGACUUGGCAGGCAACACAAAUGAAAAGCCAGGAGACUCUUCGCAAGACUAUUUCUAUUGUCUAUAAGUAGUUUAAAAUAUUUCUUAAUGUGCCUAAAUAAAUACUGUUUAAUGUUUGCUAAA